AUUGAACGCUGGCGGCAGGCUUAACACAUGCAAGUCGAGCGAGCGGCGGACGGGUGAGUAAUGUCUGGGAAACUGCCUGAUGGAGGGGGAUAACUACUGGAAACGGUAGAUACUACCGCAUAACAUCCGAUGUGCCCAUAUGGGAUUAGGUAGUAGGUGGGGUAAUGGCUCACCUAGGCGACGAUCCCUAGCUGGUCUGAGAGGAUGACCAGCCACACUGGAACUGAGACACGGUCCAGACUCGUACGGGAGGCAGCAGUGGGGAAUAUUGCACAAUGGGCGCAAGCCUGAUGCAGCCAUGCCGCGUGUGUGAAGAAGGCCUUCGGGUUGUAAAGCACUGUCAGUGAGGAGGCGUUACUCGCAGAAGAAGCACCGGCUAACUCCGUGCCAGCAGCCGCGGUAAUAC
rnacentral:rRNA from 1 species